GGUGAACUGGACUUGGUGGAUGGUGUGGAAGGGACUUUGGGAGAGACCUGUGCCCAUGAUAAAAGGGAAGAUGAAGAUGUUCCUUUGAGUUUGCAUGUGUGGGGCCUUUUUGGCAUGGUUGACUUGUCUGUACUCCUUCCUGUGACUUGACAUCAAAAUUAGCCUUGCAGCUUCAGGACUGCUGAUCCUGAUUAUGCUGUGCAAAGGGUGUUCGUUCCACGGUCACACUGUCUCUAUGAGGCAGCAACGUCUAGGAGUGUUAUCCCCAUUGAGGGGGCAGAUAAACCAAGGAAGGAGGAGGGCAGGUGCUGGCCCAAGUCACACACAGAUGAAGGCACACAUGGUCACGCAUACCUGGGAAAGCUUAGCAGCACUCCUGGCUCUCCUCAGGAGUUCAUAGAACCCUGCGCUGUGUGGACCACCGAGCUCAGAAGGGUUGCUGUGUGAUGCUCGAAUCAGGAGGCUCUGAUGGACUCUUCCCUUCUCUGUCUCUCCAGCAUCUGACUGAGGCACGUUUAUGGGACUCUGGCGAGGAAGACUCCGGUUUGCAGAACACCUCCAAUGGCCACUGCUUAAAUUGAACAAAUGAUGCAUCACAAAACUACAACGGGACUCUUCAAAUUCACGGUCGGCGCAAUCUGUAUGUAAUUGUAUUGCAACAAUUGUCCAGCAGAUGGCAGUAAAGUGUCAUGAAACAGAGUUGCCUGGUGACCUGUGCUGCACCUUUGUGAGUUAGCGGUGACCAGGCUUCACACACUGGACUUACUGGAGUCACUACUAAGCCAAGGCCACAGCAGAAAGAGCACUGCGUUUUGCAUGACCUAGGGGCUCCAAGUCGGCCUGGCUGCACCAGAGCCCUUUCAAAACACGCGGUUUAGUUCAGGGCUCACAUUGGCCAUUGCCUGGUUUUGUUUGGCCAGCAAGGAAAAUGUGCAAAGCCCUGGAUUGCUCCUUUGGGACUUCAUCAGCUGCAAACCCUCACAGUAUUUUUGUGUGUUUGGAAGUAAGAAGAGAGCAAGCGAGGGCCGAGACCUAAUGGGAAGACCCGGCGGCUGGGAGAAGGGCUCCUGGCCAGGAUCCGUGAGUCGGCUUCUUGAAGUGAAAGACAGAACUCUCUGCUCUUCAGGUUCUAUCAGUGCAAAGAGGGCCCACUAAGACCCACUCUGCAGGGCUGUUGAGGAAAGCCCCAUCUGACAGGCACCCGACAAAGCUCCUCACACUCCGUAAAUGCCACCCAUCAUGAAUGUGGCUAUGAUUAAAUUGUGAUGAGGACUGUGACCCACAAGACUGGAAAACCAGUUUGGCACCUUGAUGCAGAUGUUUUCAAGGACUGGGUUAGAGAAUACAUACCAUCAUUCUACUUUUAGCUGUUUUGUUUCAUUAAAACCUUUUUGGUUUUAAUGAAACAAACCAUAACAUGUAUGACAACCAUAACAUGUAUGACAACAUAGCAUGACAACCAUAACAAGUACAAUAUUUUGGCCAAUUUCAUUUAAUUUGGCACAUAGAAUGGAAGAAAUAUUAAGAUAUUAUUUUCUACAUGACUAUGUAGCUGGGAUGAUUGGAACUGAAUCAUUUAUUGCACAUUUGAAUGGUUAAUUUUAUUAUGCUCACAUUGUGUACAUAUUCUGUGGCUUAUAUAUAAUCAGUAAAUAUUCUAUGACUUAUUCCUCUUCAGAAACAUGUGGAAAGAUGAACAAAAAACAACCACAGCAUGACAGGGUUAGGGAAUUCUAGAAAUGGAAAAGAUGUUAAAAAUGGGUUUAUAGUAAAAUCCAACAUCUAGAGGAAGGAUUUAAAGUCUAAGCAGAAACCCUUUCUGGCGGUCUGCAGAAGUCUCCCAUCUUGCUAAAGUGUCACAUUUGGCACAUAUUCCUGGAAAACGUUUUAGUGUUUUUCAAUUAAAUUCCUUACUGCUGUCCCUCUUGCCAA
ensembl:lncRNA ZNF32-AS3 ZNF32 antisense RNA 3